CAGUCCUGAGCCACAAGCACAACCCCUGAAGUAGAAACCCACCCCACAAGUGAGUGAUCUCAAAGGCUUCUUGAACUCCAACCAAGCUGCAUGAGCUCAGAGCUGCUGCGGGAGUGAGGAGCCGGCGCUGGCCCGGCCGGACCCGCUGCUCCGGGGCAGGGAAGGUUUUUGGGCUUCUGGCAAUCCCCACAGCCAUGAAGUGGAGGUUCCUGUGCAUCGCCUGCCUGCUGGAGCUGGCUGGCUGCACUGCUGGGAGCACCACGGCCACCCCCAGCCCGGCGGGCACGGCCCUGGCAGCGAGGGACAGCGGCACAGGGACAGCCAGCAGUGCCACCGCUGCCAGCACAGCGCCGGGGGACACCAGCAGCGCCAGGCCCACCUCUGCUGGAGGUGCCGCCAGCCCGACGUCGCCGCGGCUCCUGGGGCAGCUGAGGACGAGCCCCCAGCCCAGCCCGGCCCCCACAGCGCUGCCGG
rnacentral:lncRNA from 1 species